rnacentral:rRNA from 1 species
CCUACGUUUUGCGUACAUGCGUGCAGUCGAGCGCGGGAAGCGAGUGGAUCCCUUCGGGGUGAAGCUCGUGGAACGAGCGGCGGACGGGUGAGUAACACGUGGGCAACCUGCCUGUAAGACCGGAAUAACCCCGGGAAACCGGGGCUAAUGCCGGGUAAUACUUUUCUUCGCAUGAAGGAAAGUUGAAAGAUGGCUUCUUGCUAUCACUUACAGAUGGGCCCGCGGCGCAUUAGCUAGUUGGUGAGGUAACGGCUCACCAAGGCGACGAUGCGUAGCCGACCUGAGAGGGUGAUCGGCCACACUGGGACUGAGACACGGCCCAGACUCCUACGGGAGGCAGCAGUAGGGAAUCUUCCGCAAUGGACGAAAGUCUGACGGAGCAACGCCGCGUGAACGAUGAAGGUCUUCGGAUCGUAAAGUUCUGUUGUUAGGGAAGAACAAGUACCGUGCGAAUAGAGCGGUACCUUGACGGUACCUAACGAGGAAGCCCCGGCUAACUACGUGCCAGCAGCCGCGGUAAUACGUAGGGGGCAAGCGUUGUCCGGAAUUAUUGGGCGUAAAGCGCGCGCAGGCGGUUCCUUAAGUCUGAUGUGAAAGCCCACGGCUCAACCGUGGAGGGUCAUUGGAAACUGGGGAACUUGAGGACAGAAGAGGAGAGUGGAAUUCCACGUGUAGCGGUGAAAUGCGUAGAUAUGUGGAGGAACACCAGUGGCGAAGGCGACUCUCUGGUCUGUUUCUGACGCUGAGGUGCGAAAGCGUGGGUAGCAAACAGGAUUAGAUACCCUGGUAGUCCACGCCGU